CCUACGGGUGGCAGCAGUGAGGAAUAUUGGUCAAUGGGCGCGAGCCUGAACCAGCCAAGUCGCGUGAGGGAUGAAGGUUCUAUGGAUCGUAAACCUCUUUUGUCAGGGAAUAAAGUGUGGGACGUGUCCUAUUUUGUAUGUACCUUGUGAAUAAGGAUCGGCUAACUCCGUGCCAGCAGCCGCGGUAAUACGGAGGAUCCGAGCGUUAUCCGGAUUUAUUGGGUUUAAAGGGUGCGUAGGCGGCCAUUUAAGUCAGCGGUGAAAGUCUGUGGCUCAACCAUCUAACUGCCGUUGAAACUGGGGUGCUUGAGUAUGCUGGAGGCAGGCGGAAUGCGUGGUGUAGCGGUGAAAUGCUUAGAUAUCACGCAGAACCCCGAUUGCGAAGGCAGCCUGCCAAGCCAUGACUGACGCUGAUGCACGAAAGCGUGGGGAUCAAACAGGAUUAGAUACCCUGGUAGUC
rnacentral:rRNA from 1 species